rnacentral:lncRNA from 1 species
UUGUGUUAAGCUUUGGAGAUACCAAAGAGAUAGAAAUAGUUCCCUGGCCUCAAAAGAGCUACAUACUCAUUUACAGAUAUUAUUAAUGCCUGCCUUUUAUUACAGUACCUUGAUUUCCAAAACAGACAAGCUCUAAGGAGAAGGGAAUGGUUUCAGAAGUAUCUUUGGCACUUAAUUUAUUAAGAUCUAGCUCCUCAUCAGUAUUUUAACAUCACCUCCUUGCCCAUUGUGGCAGGUCAGAAAGGGGGAGAAAUAUUAGGGAAUUCUCCCUGGCAUUCCCAUCUCUGCAGUUAUGCCUCACUUUCCCCACAGUGUUAACAUUACUUGUAUCUUCCUCAGGGCCCUUCUCUUCCAUGCCCACCUUUCCUUCCUUCCAGGUAGAAUUGGGGCAGCCAGAGUCUCUUAUUUCAUCCUUGAUGACCCUGGAUCUCUGGUCCAAGAGGUAUUGAUGUCCUGCCCUCCUGCCUGUCACCACAGGAGAGUUCCUGGAAGAGCUCAAUGCUGUCCACUCCAGAAAUGGCUUCAACUUCCCUCAUACGCUGAGGACCUGCCAACGAACGUUCUUUGCAUGCUUCUGAACCAUUUCUUCAUUGGGCUUCUCAAACUGAAGCCAAGAGCUAAAUUUAAAGAAAAUUUCCAGUCUGACCAUCAAUAAUUUGUUAGUGUCUCGGUUUCCUCAUUUGUAAAAUGGGGAUAAUAGUGCCUGACUUCCAAGAUUGCUGCUGUGAGGCAUGCAAAAAGCGUUCCUCAGAUUUCAAAGCACCGUGUACAUAUUCGCUAUUUUUAUUUAUCUUCUGCUGUUCAACAUUUUUAUCAGUGAUUUCAGUGAAAACAUAAAGGACGCACUUUUCAGGUUUACAGAUGACCCCAAGCUGGGGAAACUGCUCGCACACUGGAUAACAGAGCUAAGAUCUAAAAGGGUUUCAACAGGUUAGAUUCAAGGCUGUGUCUAAAAGGAGAACAUAUAGAAGGGACAAAUCAAAAGUUCUGCAUUGGGGCUCAAAAAUCAGCUUCCCAAGAACAAGAUAGAAGAUGCUUAGCUAGGCAGCCAUUCCUGUAAAAAAUAUCAGGUAGGAUAGUGGGGUUAGAGGACUCCAAACUCAAUAUGAAAUCAGAAAUCAGCAAAGCUGCCAAGAGAAUUAAUGCUAUUUUGUUGUUCAGUCAUUUUCAGUUGUACCCAGCUCUCUGUGGCUCUAUUUAGGGUUUUCUUGGCAAAGAUGCUGGAAUGGUCUUCUAUUUCCUUCUCCAGCUCAUUUUUACAGAUGAGGAAACUGAGAAAAACAGGGGUAAGUGACUUGCCCAGAGUCACACAGUUAGGAAAUAUCUGAGACAGAUUUCAACUCAGAAAGAUGAGUCUUCCCUAUUCCAGCAUGUGCUCAAUGCUAUCUUGGGUUCUGAUAAGACAAGCAUAUUGUCCAGAACGUGACGAGAUAGGUGCACUACAAUCUGACUGGAUCAGAACUUAGAUUGUGUUCAGUUCGGGUUGCCACAUUUUAGGAGGGACAUUGGAAAAAAUGGAGCACUUCCAGGGGAGACCAAUUUGGUAAACAUUCUUGACGUGAUACCACAUUAAAAAACCUCAGGAACCGGAGAUGGUUAGCCUGAGAAGAGGCAUUUUGGAAGGAUAAGGAGAGUAGAAACAGAGAUGGGGAAUA